rnacentral:rRNA from 1 species
CACGUAGGCACCAAGCGUUAUCCGGAUUUAUUGGGCGUAAAGAGCUCGUAGGCGGCUUAGCAAGUCGGGUGUGAAACCUCCAGGCUCAACCUGGAGACGCCACUCGAUACUGCUAUGGCUUGAGUUCGGUAGGGGACCAUGGAAUUCCUGGUGUAGCGGUGAAAUGCGCAGAUAUCAGGAGGAACACCGAUGGCGAAGGCAAUGGUCUGGGCCGAUACUGACGCUGAGGAGCGAAAGCGUGGGGAGCGAACAGG